CCCGGCCGGAAGGACCCCAAAGAUAACGAAUGAAUCGCACAAGUGCUGUUGACUGUAACAAAUUCCAAGAGUUUCGGAACUUCAAGGCAGCAAUGGAACUAGGGUAGGGAAAAUGUGCCACACUAACUGAAGUAGUGCCUCUCCAGCAAAAGUGUCGUUGAUAUUCGUUCUCGCCGGGCUGUUGAUUUGCUGCUGAAAACUGGGUGAAACAAGUCAAUGCAAUGGAUGAAAAGUAUUUUUUCCGUCGAACAACAAAAAUCAGCUCGCCGUGGGACGAGUUGGAGAAGUGAAAACUGUGUCACAAACAGAGGUGUGGGUGGAGCGCAGGGAAAUCGUUUUCAAACUGAAUUGUGUCGUGUAAUUGAUGGUUUAUUUGUUUCCAACUGCGAUCAAAAUUAAGCUGCAGCAGGUACUCACAGCUACCCCGCCGGGUUGGUGGUUGAUUGCAAGGACUUCGUUCGACGACGUGGUGCGGCGCAAGCUAGUGAAUUCAGUGCACGUCGAACAGCAUCGAACAGUUGUUGCAGCAUUGGCGUAUCUGGGCAGAUUAUCGGACUCAUUACGUCAGAUACCAUUGGAAGUUUUAAAAUAAUUGCUGAACAUUGAAGUUCAUAAAUGACUAGAAAACAGGAAGAAUCCCGAAAGGAACCUGGUCCACAAUUCCUCCACCCCCCGCCCUGCUACGCCAAUGCCAUCGAACGACAGGAGGUUGAUAGAGAACAGUGCAGACCAAAUCAAGCCAGAGUGCGGCGAAAAAAAAAAACAGGAAAAACAACACAGUCGAUCCCCAUGAUUGAAAGCAAAGUGAUAAGAGUUUGAUUUUUAAUUGAAAAAUUCUCGUUUGCCAUCGAUGUUGUCGUCGUCGUCGUAGUCGUCGUUCGCCAUGUCGACACGACGACACUUCAGCCGAAGAAUCGAGACAGCGAGUGAUGGUGCGCCGUCGAUCGUUGCCGUUGUUGGGAGGCGAAGGCUAGAUAGAAAUCGACAGCCGCCGACAGUGACUUUGUCGAGCAAGGAUAGUGCCGCCAUGAAGCAUACACCUAGCUGGGAUAUCGAGUGACGACGACGACGACAACGGCGGCUUUGAUCCGGGGAUCCUGGUCCGGAAGAUUGAUGGAACCGUGAGAGACAACCGAAGGGGAUGCACCAACCACCCUCCAACCCACCACCUCCAGCAGCAGGCAGGGUUGUUAUUGCAAGUCGAAAGUAGUGAAGCAAACAUUCGGGAUGGUUGGUUCGCGGUGAGCUGUGCUGACUGGGCUGCAUUUUGUGUGAAGCCCCUAGAAGCUCCUCGACGACAACGACGACGACGACGUCGUAGAUGGCAUCAGCACAACAACCAUAAUGUCUAUGUUAUCCGUGGAAACUCCCCGACAUACACCGCAGUCAAGGAUAUUGCUGAUGUUGAUGCGGCGAUGACGAUGACGACAGCGACGACGACGACGACGACGACGAAGACAACGGAUGCCGGCGAAUAUCUUUUUCAUCGAAUCUGCGCUCUCGGUCUCGUCUCUGAAUCGAUGUUAGGAGCUUUGGUCGCAUCAAAUGGGCCAAAGCCAGGCAACCGUAAAGUUUAAACAAGAUCCUUGGUAUCGUGCAGCCAGCAACAACGGCGAAUGACAAAGGGAAACAAAAAAAAACCUAACAAAAUUUGAUUGAGCUGCCAGGCGAUUCGUCUAUGUUGCCACAGGGAGGCCAGCAUCCGCCCACCACCCGCACACAUGAGCGCAAAUGUUAUCAUUCUUAUGUUUCGGUUUUCUUUUCCAUAUCGCUCAAUGAAAUGAAUUGUUUUUCCUCGAGGAGAAUUUGGAGGUAGAUUGAGUAAGAGUGUAGGUUUUGAUAAAUAAACAAGCUAGAUGUCGAUUAACAUAAAAGGUCGAAUUAAUUUCGAUGACUGCCUUUGGUACAAAUUUGACUUAAAUAUCAUGAACACGGUUCGAUGUGGGUAAUCAUCAUAAUAACAUUAAACGCAGCAAUUUA